rnacentral:misc_RNA from 1 species
AUUUAUAUAUAAUGAUCUAACCGUCAGAUAAAUCCCAAAUUUUAACGAUAUAUUCAAGACAUCCCUAUACAGCAUCAUUAAAAAUUUAAGCCUAAAAUUGUGACUACAUCAUGAGAUAUCAAUAUAUUUAUCCAACCCUUUAAAUUCUGAAUUUUUCAUAAAUAAUUCUUAAUCAAAUAACUUAUACAAAAUAAUUUAUAUCUCAUA